rnacentral:rRNA from 1 species
GAAUGUCGUUGAUCAAAGCUCGUCCUUGUGGCGUGGCUCGGUUGAUGCUUCCUAUCAUUUGGAUGGUAGCAAUACUGUCCAAAUCAUUUACUUUGAAAAAAUUAGAGUGUUCAAAGCAGGCGUAACUUGCCAUUGAAUAUUACAGCAUGGGAUAAUAGAAUAUGACGUUGGUCUUAUUUUGUUGGUUUCUAAGGCUGAUGUA